rnacentral:rRNA from 1 species
CGGACGGGUGAGUAAUGUCUGGGAAACUGCCUGAUGGAGGGGGAUAACUACUGGAAACGGUAGCUAAUACCGCAUAACGUCGCAAGACCAAGGAGGGGGACCUUCGGGCCUCUUGCCAUCGGAUGUGCCCAGAUGGGAUUAGCUAGUAGGUGGGGUAACGGCUCACCUAGGCGACGAUCCCUAGCUGGUCUGAGAGGAUGACCAGCCACACUGGAACUGAGACACGGUCCAG